CUUUUUUUUCUUUUUCUUUUUUUUGCUUUUUUAGGGCUGCAGGUGCAGCAAAUAGAAGUUCCCAGGCUAGGGGUCAAAUUGGAGCUAUAGCUGCCAGCCUACAGCCAUAGCAAUGCAAGAUCCGAGCCAUAUCUGCAACCUACACCACAGCUCACAGCAAUGCUGGAUCCUUAACCCAUGGAGCAUCCUUAUGGAUCCUAGUCGGGUUUGUUACCGCGGAGCCAUGAUGGGAACUCCUGGUCCAUUCUUACAUCUUAGAAGCUGACUGCUGAAUCUCCAAAGACGAAUUUAUGAUCCUUUCUCAGGACAGGUGUAUUCAUCAGUAUUCUCCUUAGAGUUUGUUAUAUUUGCACAUCCUUCAUCUAAAGUUGCACUGCAUCUCUCCAAGAUGCAAGAUCAAGGGGACAACUGUACGAUGGUGGUCCAUGUAAUGUCCCCAGAAACCAAGCUUAGACCCUCUCUUGCUGUCUUCUCUGCCAUUGGUUUCAAGCACUUAUCAGUUUGGCCAUUCACGUUCUCCGUUUCCUUCCAUCAUCUGACCUGUCAUUUUCACUCUCAUCUCUGCAAUGCUAGGGCAAGAAAUACCCUGUUGGGUGUAAAUUGUGUUGUUUUUUUUAAAUAUGAAUCAAAAGUAAACAUUUUUAGAGUCAAGAAAUUUCACAGGAAAAUCUAGACUUUCAAGUUCUCGUAAAAAGCAAAGAUCUGGCAACCUUGAACCCAUGUUCCUACAUAAACACAACCAGCUGGCCAAGUAGCAGCAUCUUCUUCGGGCAGGGCAGGGGCUCCCCAUGCCUCCCCACCCUCAGGCUGGGGCCCAUUGCAUUGCCUCACCCUGGCUGGUAGAUGCCCGCCUGGACCCAAGGCCAUCUUCAUCCUCUGCCCUUGCUCUGAGCCCCGCCUUCGUCCAGCUGGGCUCUCCGGGGCUCUAGUGUGUUGAGUCCAUGUGACGGGCUAAGCCUUUUAUGCUCUUACUGCACUUGGUCCCACCCACCCUUCAAGGCUGGCGCUAUGGGAGGUCAAAAGCCUUUCCCACGAUAGCUCAGCUGGUGAGGGGCUGACCCAGGGGGUCUGAAUCCAGCCCUGCAACCACCUGUCUGCGCUGCUUUCCUGCUGCACCCCCUCCCCCAGGCACACCCCCCAAUGGCUCACACGGGACCAAAGACUCCUCUUCCACCACUGUUCCAAGGAAGUUCCUCUCCCAGAGCCAGGACUGGAACCAGGAAAGUGCAUGCCAACAUAGCAGGCAACACAGCCGGCUAGUCAGGUUUUUUUCUUUCGUUUUUUGUUUGUUUGUUUGUUUGUUUUUCAUUCUGAGAAUAUGGAGGAAGAGAACAGAUAUAAACUUUUAACCCAGCACAGUACAUGUCUUCCAAGAGAUGUACAUUUCACAGAGAGUGAAAUGGAAAGAGAGAUAAGGCAAAUUCACACCUGCUAGACACCCAUCUAGUGCUGGCUUCGCUCCACGCCUUCCUAUCUGCCUCCCUCCUUAGCAGAACCACAGGCUGGCAUUAUGAUGUGGAUGCUGAGGUUCAGAGAGGUAAAGUGACUUGCCCGAAACCACACAGCGAGCAAGUGGUGGAACUGGAAUCCAAACCUGUGUCUUUCUAACGCCAACUCACUCUGUGGCUGCUUCCCAAGAUCCUUCAAAGUCAGAUUUGUGACUUCUCUCCUUUCAGUCAUCCCAGAAGAGGCCCAGGACAGUAAGGUGGGGAGAGGAUGAGGUUCAAGUUGAGAGGUUCAAGUUAGCUAGAAGCCAGAGAUGUGCAUGUUCCACUCUUGGGUUUUAGGUGCCCAGGAGAGCCUUCUACUGAACCAGGGCACUGCUAUAAGGGUGUCUUGGCCAAAAGGAAAAACAGACCCACGUGCAAAGGUCUUACUCCAGGCACAACUUUCUCCAGGAGCUGAUGGCAACAAAAUUGGAGCACCAUGAAAUUCCCCUACUCCAGAGUACGUCUCUGUUUAUUUUUAAGCAUCUGUCCCUCCAGCUACACAUCCUCCACCACUGUCCUUCCAACCUCCUGUCCAUCCAUAUCCCAUCCUUCCACCUAGCCAUCCACCCAUCCGUCUCUACACUAAUCAUUCAGACAUCCAUCUAUCCAUCAUCUAUCCACCCACCCAACCAUUCAUCCAUCCAUCCAUCUGUUCAUCUACCCAUCCAUCCAUUCAUCUAUCCAUCCAUCACCCAUCCACUCUCUCCACAUCCUCCCAUCCAUCACCUACUCAUCUAUCUCAUCUACCUAUCCAUCCAUCAUCAUCUAUCCACCCAUUUAUCCAUCAUCCAUCAUCACCCAUCUAUUCAUCCAUCAUCAUCCAUCAUCAUCCAUCCAGCAUUUAAGACCUACUGUGUGUGAGGCAUUCUACAGGGACUUAGAUAAAGAACAAGCUGGACACUGAUCCUAUGGUCACAAGUCUACAGCUUCAUCUGUAUAACAGACUUUCAACUACGAAGUACCCAAACAAUUCAAUGACAGUUUUGGUGAGUGCUACAAAGGCACUUUAAAUAAGCUAAAAGAGCCGCUGCCAGAAGGCACCCCCACUGGGUUUGAGGGAGGUGGGAGGGCAUCAAAGAAUGCAGGCAGCACCUAACACAGGACUGAGCUGAGAGCCUGGGGUAUGAGGCACAACGGUGUGAGUUUGGAUCCCAACUCUGAACUGUCCGCUCUGUGGGUCCACAGCCUCCCCUCCCGGGGCUUCAGGUUCCUCCCAUUCAAAACGGAGAUAAUAACCAGGGGAGGAGUUCCUUUUGUGGCUCAGUGGGUAACAAACCCAACUACGAACCAUGAGGAUGUGGGUUCGAUCCCGGGAUAUGAGUUGAGUUCAUUACUGCUGAGCCACGAUGGGAACUCCAACUCACCUUUUUUCCACCCAGGCUCCCACACACCCCCUCCAACCAGCACUGGCUCCUGGGACCUCGCCCUGGGCCCUAUUAACUGGGCCCCCGCAGCCUCUGGACCAAAGAGCUCACCAAGCAAGAUGUAGCCAUCAGCUCUGCCCGGGUCAGAAAAAGGAAACAGAAAAACGAAAGUGAUUGGAAUCUCUAUUUCCUAUGAGCAAACAGCUGCUCUGUGCUAAUAUCCUCCUGGAAUAAACGGUUAUUAGUUAAUUUAAAAAACCACAGAAACCAAUUAUUAACAAAUUUGUAGGCUUAUUUUUAGCCACGAGAAUUACUGAUCAGUUGCCCUCUCUGCCUGUUCAUCUGCUCCAGGAAUUUCCAACAGGGCAAGGCCAUGUAACCUAACCAGUAUGCUUCGCUGGUGUUGCCUAUUUGGGGAGUUUUUCCCCACAAUUUUACUUUUUCUUAUGGGUAUGUGGGAAAAGGAACAAGAAAGCGUUGCUGGGGGUCAUGGACUUAAAGUAAAACCAGUGAUUCCUUUGCAUCCACUGUGAGAAAAAGUCUGUUCUGGAGCUGAAGACAGAAAGUGGACAAGACCUAUCUUUAUAGAGGAAAAAGAUACAAAUAUGUUUAACAGAAAGUGGAAAGAGCUGGAAAAAUACGAGAGGAAAGUCAUCCCAUUAAAAUAUCAAGGCUGGCGUUCCCUGCUGGCCUAGCAGUCAAGGACCCAGCAUUGCCACUGCCGUGGCGUGGGUUCUAUCCCUGGCCCAGGAACUUCCGCAUGCUGCAGGCAUGGCCCAGAAAUCAAAUAAGAUGUCAACACUAUUUGCAACAAGGAUAUUAAGGAAAAGACAGGUACCAUCAGAUUCCAGGGGAGACACACAGAGCCCUCAUACCUUCCACCCAGAGCCCCUGUCCAGGAGAAAAUAGGGCUUAGUUUGUUCCAUGUUGGGUGUUAGUAAAAGUUCCCCGUUACCCUUCCCACUGAAAAGAUGAGAUAAAUUAAUAAAUUAUCCCCGAAUCUUUCGUUAUUUGACAUUAAGGUGGAAGCAGCUCGUUGCAAGAGUUGAGGGGGAAAGGAGUGGAAGGACAGGUGGCUGUCAGCCUCACCAGCCACACGCCCACCGUCCCGAGCCCAAAGCCGACAUCAAGGAGCCCGGGGACUGCAGUCAGCUCAGGGCGGCCACAGCCUCAUGUCCCAGCUUUGUCCUUGACCUCUGACUUGGGUCAACUAUACCACCCCUGCAUUCUGGCUUCCCCAGCUCAGCUCCCCGACUAGGAAGAGGAGCCCCCAGGGCACCAGCCACCCCUCGAACCAGCUUCAGAGCUAUGCAGGGGUAGGGUGGGAGAGUGCUACAGGGCUGCCCGAUUUCCCCCAGCAGGAGUGACCUCAGGCCAGAAGGGACCUUUCUUUCAAUAUCACAAGGCACCAGUGGGAACCAUGGACUUCUGGGAGCCUCAAACUGAAGCAGGACUGCCCACUGCCAUCAGCCGAAAUGUUCAGAGGCCCCCAAGAGGCCAUAAUGACAGGCGGGGGCGCACAUCAGCUCCUGGGGACUGGGGUCUCCCUGGGUUCCAGGCACCUUGCUAAACGUUUUACAGAAACCAGCCCCUCAAAUCCUCCCACCACCCUUCCAGGCAGGGACAUUGUUCGGUCGGCGGGAACCACGGGUCAGAGAUGUUCAGCGGAGCCAGAAAAGCCUGCAGAUUCAGGUGACACCAAAGAGUCCAUGCACCUGCCAGCUCCCCUCAAGAUCUUGUCUGUUGGCCUCCCACGGUCAAGGCCUCACCAUGGUAGAGGCAGCAGGAGAUUCUAGUGUGAAUGUGACCAAGCCCCUCACCCCCAGGAGCUUGGUCUAUGAAGGGAAAAAAGCCUUGACCAUAAACUGGCCAUGUACCCACUCUAAUAGAACUGGGCAGAAACGAGGGCCCCAGACCUAACAGUCUCCGUGCAUGUCCCCCACAGCCAUGGGACACCAUCACUGGGUCCAGGAAGAUGAGGACCCACGUGGAGAAGAGCCACCUGGCUGAGCCCAGCCUAGAUGGCGGACCUGCCCACCUGCAGAGAGCAGAGGAGAGGGCGCUCGGGGCGGUGGCAUGGGGGUCCAGAAGCCGCCUUUGCAGCAGCAGAGGACAAACUGGAUGCCACACAGAAGGAGGCCCAUGCGGCAGGCCUGGUACUUAUCAUAUACGCGUGCUGUCUCUUCACUGGUCCAAGUGGUGUAAGCCGCCAGCUUCCGGGACAGGCAAUCGUCUUCACAUCACCCCACGCCAUGCUCCCUACGAAGCCAAGAUGAUGACAUAGGACCGCACUCCCCCCUUUUGCCGAAAUCCACAGCCGCACCCAUGUCUCCUCAAUGGAGAACCACUGCUGCUUUAUCGGUGUUGUAAGCCCA
rnacentral:lncRNA from 1 species